rnacentral:rRNA from 1 species
AGCAGCAGCCGCGGUAAUACAGAGGGUGCGAGCGUUAAUCGGAUUUACUGGGCGUAAAGCGUGCGUAGGCGGCUUCUUAAGUCGGAUGUGAAAUCCCUGAGCUUAACUUAGGAAUUGCAUUCGAUACUGGGAAGCUAGAGUAUGGGAGAGGAUGGUAGAAUUCCAGGUGUAGCGGUGAAAUGCGUAGAGAUCUGGAGGAAUACCGAUGGCGAAGGCAGCCAUCUGGCCUAAUACUGACGCUCAUGCACGAAAGCGUGGGGAGCAAACAGGAUUAGAUACCCCUGUAGUCCCUGUCUCUUAUAC